AUAAGAUAGUGUGAGUAAGAAAAGGAAAGUCACAUGAGGAAAGAAGUCCCUGCUCUUGUGAGCUCACAAUCUAAAAGGAGCUGUGAGGUGGGUGCCUUCUUGUAUCCUUGAUCAGCCUGAAAGAGGGAGCCUGCCUGGCACUCCUGCUCUUUUGUACCUCCCAGCUCCUGCUCUUCCUCUCACCCCAUCCUGGUUUCUUCCCAUCAGAUGGCUGUGUAGUUGGGUGGUGGCAGCUGGCAUGGCCAUAUCUGCUACAAUACAGGCUUGUGGAGAGCGAGUUUUGACCCAACUGGACCCACGAGGGGGGCUGAUGUUAGUGGUAGAGGUACACCAGACCAGUCACCCCUCCUCUAUGUGCUCCUUAGGUGUGGCCUGCACCGUUUCAAUCUCCCAAUACAGUCAUACUAUACAGAUACACCUUUCAUAUGUCCCACUACAGAUACACACACGCCUUCCAUAUGUCUUACUAUACAAGGAUACUGUUUCUCUAUGUUAGAUUUUGCAGACACUCUUUCCAUAGUUCAUAAAAUAGAGAUAACACAAUAACAUUUAUUUCAUCCCCAGGGGAGAUGUAUCAAACCUUGGAGAGAGAUAAAGGGGCAGAUGUAUUAAGCCUGGAGAAGUGGAAGGUGAUAAUGCACUAGCCAAUCAGCUCCUAACGGCCAAGUUACAGGCUGGGUUUAAAAAAAAAUUACAGUUAGGAGCUGAGUGGCUGGUGCGUUAUAAUCGUCUACUUUAUCACUUCUCCAGGAUUAAUACAUCAGCCUGAAAGUACCAACCAGCCAGCUCCUACGUAGCCUGUAACAUAGAAGUUAGGAGCUGAUUGGCUGGUAGUUUAUCCCUCACCAUGGUUUGUUACCCCCCCCCCCCCCCCUCUCUUCCGGAGAGAGUUAUAGUAUUUAUCUGUGGGUGUAUGUACAACAAGGGUUCUUGUGAGGGUAUCCAGUCUCUAGGACAAC